UACGGGGGGGGCAAGCGUUGUUCGGAAUUACUGGGCGUAAAGGGCUCGUAGGCGGCCAACUAAGUCGGACGUGAAAUCCCCAGGCUCAACCUGGGAACUGCGUCCGAUACUGGAUGGCUUGAAUCCGGGAGAGGGAUGCAGAAUUCCAGGUGUAGCGGUGAAAUGCGUAGAUAUCCGGAGGAACACCGGUGGCGAAGGCGGGUCUCUGGGCCGAUACUGACGCUGAGGAGCGAAAGCGUGGGGAGCGAACAGG
rnacentral:rRNA from 1 species